AGGAACGCAAGCAGCCAUCGUUGCUGGGGUGUCUCUGUCCCUCGCCCCGAGGCCCGCACCGCCCUCCUAGCGAUUAUUUUCGACGCCCGCCCUCCUGAGCCUCCUGAGUCGGCUGCCAGAGCGAGGGCCCGUCUCCCGCCGCCACUCGCGAUUUAUUUACACCUCGCAGGUGAGAGGAUUGAUUUGCUCAGUGCCAGGGGGGCCGGGCUGGGCCGGGGCGCGGGGCCUGCUCAUCGCUGCUGCUCGGGCCGGGCCUCAAAUGUCAGUGCGGCCAGGCCGGCCGGGGGCACCGCCGCCGCCUCUAACAUUGAGCAACAGCGCCACCUCGCGUCCACUUGCUCCAAUGCAGGCCGACCAGGAAAAAGCCAACAGCUAGAGCAAGCAGGUCCCCAAGGCUUGACCCAAAGGUGGGAAGUGGGAAGAAGGAGUUUCCAACAGCGUGCGCGCACGAGAGGGGUCCCUGGAAGGGGUUCCCUCCGCCUCCGGCCGCUGUACUUUUGUUUUCUAAAUUCUCGAAAGAAACCUUGUCAAAGGCUUCACACUAUUUUCUCUUUUUGUCACCCUCCCUCCCCGCACUGUGCAAAAGAACUGCCGCGAUUUCCCCCGCAUUCAGGCGCAUUUCUGGCCUCGGAACACCUCCGCGCCCGCAGAUGCACGCUCCGAAGCUCCCACGACCGCCUGCCCCCGGCGCGCACUCUAAAACUCCUCGGCCCUCUUACCCUGCUGCUGGCUCCGCAUCGCCUAUUCCGCCGCCGCCCGCAGGACUUUGGGGUGGGACUCUGACUUCUCCCGGCUGUUUGCCCCCUGGUUUGUAGCCCAUCCCUCUCUCUCACGCGCGCUCUCUCGCCACCUCUCCCUCCCAGCCAGUGAGGUCCUGUUCUCAGUGGGCCAUAGACAAAACAUUCCUAUAAUCCGAUUUCAAAGGAAAGAGUGUCCACCUUAUUUAAACCAUAAAACAAUUAAGCCCAGACGUCUAGCCAGCUCCGCGCUGCUGUUUUGUUCUGCCCCAUUCAGAAUCCAGCGCAGGGAGACAAACAGCGCCAUAAAAGUGGCAUUUCGGGACCGCGGAAAUGUACCUAUCCUCUGCCUUCCCAAGUGGAACAACCUUUAGGGUUUUGUGAUUCUGACAAAGGAGCAGAGGAGAGGUGGGAGGGGAAGAUUAGGGCGGGGUGGGGGGCGUUUGCCGGCCCCUCUCCCCCCGCCUCUUCCCCGGGCUUUCGCUGCUUUCCCCAGAUGUGUGUUGUGCUGUCGUGGCUUGGAGUCACAAAUGACAAUAAAUAAAAAUCGAAUCCAAUCCUGACCUGCA
rnacentral:lncRNA from 1 species